AUGAACGCUAGCUACAGGCUUAACACAUGCAAGUCGAGGGGCAGCAUGGUCUUAGCUUGCUAAGGCCGAUGGCGACCGGCGCACGGGUGAGUAACACGUAUCCAACCUGCCGUCUACUCUUGGACAGCCUUCUGAAAGGAAGAUUAAUACAAGAUGGCAUCAUGAGUCCACAUGUUCACAUGAUUAAAGGUAUUCCGGUAGACGAUGGGGAUGCGUUCCAUUAGAUAGUAGGCGGGGUAACGGCCCACCUAGUCUUCGAUGGAUAGGGGUUCUGAGAGGAAGGUCCCCCACAUUGGAACUGAGACACGGUCCAAACUCCUACGGGAGGCAGCAGUGAGGAAUAUUGGUCAAUGGGCGAGAGCCUGAACCAGCCAAGUAGCGUGAAGGAUGACUGCCCUAUGGGUUGUAAACUUCUUUUAUAAAGGAAUAAAGUCGGGUAUGCAUACCCGUUUGCAUGUACUUUAUGAAUAAGGAUCGGCUAACUCCGUGCCAGCAGCCGCGGUAAUACGGAGGAUCCGAGCGUUAUCCGGAUUUAUUGGGUUUAAAGGGAGCGUAGAUGGAUGUUUAAGUCAGUUGUGAAAGUUUGCGGCUCAACCGUAAAAUUGCAGUUGAUACUGGAUAUCUUGAGUGCAGUUGAGGCAGGCCGAAUUCGUGGUGUAGCGGUGAAAUGCUUAGAUAUCACGAAGAACAGCAAUUGAGAAGGCAGCUUGCUAAGCUGCAACUGACAUUGAGGCUCGAAAGUGUGAGUAUCAAACAGGAUUAGAUACCCUGGUAGUCCACACGGUAAACGAUGAAUACUCGCUGUUUGCGAUAUACAGCAAGCGGCCAAGCGAAAGCGUUAAGUAUUCCACCUGGGGAGUACGCCGGCAACGGUGAAACUCAAAGGAAUUGACGGGGGCCCGCACAAGCGGAGGAACAUGUGGUUUAAUUCGAUGAUACGCGAGGAACCUUACCCGGGCUUAAAUUGCAGAUGAAUUACGGUGAAAGCCGUAAGCCGCAAGGCAUCUGUGAAGGUGCUGCAUGGUUGUCGUCAGCUCGUGCCGUGAGGUGUCGGCUUAAGUGCCAUAACGAGCGCAACCCUUGUUGUCAGUUACUAACAGGUUCUGCUGAGGACUCUGACAAGACUGCCAUCGUAAGAUGUGAGGAAGGUGGGGAUGACGUCAAAUCAGCACGGCCCUUACGUCCGGGGCUACACACGUGUUACGAUGGGGGGUACAGAGGGCCGCUACCACGCGAGUGGAUGCCAAUCCCCAAAACCUCUCUCAGUUCGGACUGGAGUCUGCAACCCGACUCCACGAAGCUGGAUUCGCUAGUAAUCGCGCAUCAGCCACGGCGCGGUGAAUACGUUCCCGGGCCUUGUACACACCGCCCGUCAAGCCAUGGGAGCCGGGGGUACCUGAAGUGCGUAACCGCGAGGAGCGCCCUAGGGUAAAACUGGUGACUGGGGCU
rnacentral:rRNA from 1 species